rnacentral:rRNA from 1 species
GCUACGGGCCGCACCAGUGGGGAAUAUUGCACAAUGGGCGCAUGCCUGAUGCAGCCAUGCCGCGUGUAUGAAGAAGGCCUUCGGGUUGUAAAGUACUUUCAGCGGGGAGGAAGGCGAUAAGGUUAAUAACCUUGUCGAUUGACGUUACCCGCAGAAGAAGCACCGACUAAGUCCGUGCCAGCAGCCGCGGUAAUACGGAGGGUGCAAGCGUUAAUCGGAAUUACUGGGCGUAAAGCGCACGCAGGCGGUCUGUCAAGUCGGAUGGGAAAUCCCCGGGCUCAACCUGGGAACUGCAUUCGAAACUGGCAGGCUAGAGUCUUGUAGAGGGGGGUAGAAUUCCAGGUGUAGCGGUGAAAUGCGUAGAGAUCUGGAGGAAUACCGGUGGCGAAGGCGGCCCCCUGGACAAAGACUGACGCUCAGGUGCGAGAGCGUGGGGAGCAAACAGGAUUAGAUACCCGUGUAGUC